AAUAUGCUAAAUUUUGGUGGUUCAAAUGAAUAUAUUUCAUUUGAUUAAAAGGGAAGUUGGUGAGAGUCCAACACUGUCCCGCAACUGUAUUUGGGAGUUAGAUAACAAUACCACUGUUUUGAUUGUCAAAAUGGGAAGGUGUUAUUGUAACGUUGAUCAUAAGUCAGGAGACCUGCCACUAAAGAAAGCAUCAA
rnacentral:ncRNA from 2 species